UAUAUAGCUUGGCAAUCCCAUGUCAAAUAAGGCAAAGAAGAGGAACCCAAGGUAUGUUUCUCAUUUGCCUUCUUUGACAUGGGACUAACAGACUAA
rfam:Arabidopsis lyrata subsp. lyrata unplaced genomic scaffold ARALYscaffold_6, whole genome shotgun sequence.